CACCGCUAUGUGGACAGUUUUGCGGCCCCUCGGCCCCCUGAGGCCUCAGGGCUUAAAGAAAACAUGUGUGACCAUGGACCAGGAACGCCCACGCUCUGACCUCAGCAUAAACAGCAGAAAUGAUCUCCGCAAGGUUUUGCAUCUUGAAUUUCUCUACAAGGAGAACAAGGCAAAGGAAAAUCCUCUAAAAACAAACCUUGAACUCAUUACCAGAUAUUUUCUGGAUCACUUUGGAAAUACUACUAACAAUUUCACUCAAGAAACACCAAUCCCUGCACUCUCAAUUCCAAAGAAAAAUAACAAAUUACCAUCAAGAUGCUCAGAGACCACGCUGGUAAAUAUAUAUGACCUUGCAGAUGAAGAUGCAGGAUGGAGAACAUCAUUGUCUGAAACAAGCAAAGCC